UAUUUGCUGUUAUAUUUCAUGGAAAGGACUAGUAAGAAUUAUAAUCUUUAAAAAAAUUUAUCUUCGCAAGUUUUCAAAAUAGGCAACAAAGAAUGUAAAUCUUUAAGGACUUUAUUGUUGGACUAAUUAAAGCAUACCAUUUCUACUAUAUCUAGCAUAUGGAGAUACUUAUAGGUAUUCUUCCUUUUAAGUAGAAAUUGACAAUAAAUUAAGUGUAAUUUUAUAAUGGCCUGGUGUAUCAAAGUGUGGCGGAAAUCCCUGAGUUCCAAAAAGAUUAAAGACCGAAGGGAAAUAAGUCUGCUUUUAGCUAGAUGUCAGAAUGACUAUUCAUUGCUUUACUGAGAUCAAGGAGGAUCUUAAUUCCUCCUGGAGAAAUUACGUAUAUCCGUUUUAGUUCAUUAAUUUUAAAUCUGUAUUCUUAUGUGUGACAUUAGUAUUAGAAUUCUUUCAAGAUUUCACUGUGCUUUUUGUUUUAUCCAUUUUCAAAUUUAGAAAUGUUUGCUCAUCAAACUUACCAACAUAAAUACUUUCAGGAAUCCUUAAGAUACUAGCAGUGUUCCACUUCCCUAUACACCUGUUUAUAUGAAAAAUAAAAAAAUUCUCCCAUAUCAGACCCAUGUGUUUUUUUUUUUUUAGGUGUGUUUUUCCCAGAAAAACAACUUUGUAUCUACUAAGUGAACAGUGAUUUCUUCAGACUUUUCUAGUCCAAAUGAGAC
rnacentral:lncRNA from 1 species